AAACACUUCAUACGAAUACUACCAACUGUUUUCUGUACAAAACAAUUAACAAAACCCAAGAAUGAUAUACUAGUAUACAGCAACAAACGAAAACCACCGAAUUAAGGGUGUGUACAUCAGGUGUCUGUGGUCAAGUUUUGUUAUCCAUGAGAAUGAGUUGCGAUUCUCAGCACACGAUGAACCAAUAAUUGUUGGGAUGUGACGUGGAUAGCCUGCGAGAAGCCUUUGACCCACACUGGCACAGGCACUCAUCUCAGAAAAAAACAAACCCUAUAUAUAUAUAUAUACUAGUAUAUACCUGUAUAUAGGAAUAUUUUUUUCUGAGACGAGUCUCAGUAGCAUGGGUUCGAAUCCCGUCGAGGGAAGAACAAAAAAUUUGCGAAAGCAAAUUUACAGAUCUAACAUUGUUGGGUUGAUUUUUAGACGCGUUGUAUAUACAUAAUGUACACAGCCAUGUAUCACCAUCACUGCUGGUGAUCCGAUGCAUAAAUCUGUUGUAGAGUUGUCACUGGCUCAGACGUUCUUAUAUAUAUACUAGCAAAUUUUGACCAAUCAAUUGGUUCUUUAUGUCAGUAUGUUAAACAUAAACUAUGUAAAAGUUAUUUAACAUUUUGGAAUAAACUGAAGUAUCAAACAAUUAACUCCGAAAAAGGGAAGCUUGUUACUUAUUUUUCUAUAAAAAAUUGUUUUAAAAAAGAAAAAUAUUUAGAAUUGCAGGACUUCAAAAAAGGACAGUCAAUUUGUAAGUUAAGAAUAAGCGCUCACUCUUUAAAAAUUGAGACAAACAGAUAUUCAAAAAAACAUAUAGAAAGAUCUGAGCGUCUUUGUUCUAAUUGCUCACUUGGUAAAGUUGAAGAUGAGCUUCAUUUUUUAUUAGAAUGCCCUCGCAAAGUUUAUGAUAUUCAAAGGGGCGAUUUUUUUUAAGACAUUUCUAACAACUGUUAUAAUUUUAUGAAUUUAAAUAAAUCUUCUAAAUUUUUAUGGCUCUUGACCCAAGAAAAUGUUACUCUUAUGGGAAAACUGGGCUGUUAUAUUUGUGACUGUUUUGAAUUAAGGAGAUCAGGUAUGAACACUGACACUAUAAGUCAAGUAAAUAAUUUGAGAAUAAAUACAUAUAUAAUGUAAUUUUAUUAUUCACAACAUAUAUGUGGUUUUUAGCUUGAUUCUGACCAAUGCUUAUAUUCCAAAUUUAUAUGUAUAUGCCUCUAUUAUUGUUGUUGUUACCAAUUAUGUAAAUCAAUUGUGUCUGAUUGUAUGCCCUUUAUAUGGGCCCUGUAAUUUGGGAAAUAAAAAUAUUCUAUUCUAUUCUAUUCUAUUUAGAGCACUGAAGCUCAGAAAUGGCUGUUUUCAGUAAGAUGAUUUGUAAUUCAUUUGUUACAAAUAUUUGCUAUUUGGAAUUAUUUCUAU
rnacentral:lncRNA from 1 species